rnacentral:lncRNA from 1 species
CUGGAGCUGAGUUUUCCUGCCUUCAGUGGGAGAUGACCAACAUUUGAAGAAGCCAAAGGAGACAUGUCAACUUCUAGGGGGCUGGACACCCAUCAGGUAAAGAAGCUGAAAUCACUUGCUGCGGUUCUGGGAAUCAGAUUUUUAGGACAACUGACUCUUCCUUGGGAGGCUUGAUGCAUUCGACCUGAUUACUGAUGCACUGGAAACUCUACAGAGACCCAGACACAAGCUGUAAUGCAGAUGUAAUUGUUGGAGCAGGAGUGGCCGUCUUGGACCAUGAGGUGGCAGCUGUGUGUUGAUAGGACCCUAGGUCCAUAAAAUCACCAUACUAGACUUGGACUGCCUACAUUUCUGAGCAUGUGGUGGUCACUGAAGUACAAGACAGCCAGUGGGGCUCACCAUCCAGCAAGUUUCAGUGCACCCCUGUUGCCUCUUUCCCAGGAAGUUCCACCAGCAUCUCAACAGGUGACUUCCUAGUCUCACGAGGCUGAAAUCAAGGUGUUGGCUGUCCUGAGCUCAUUUUUGGAGGUUCUGGAGAAGAAUCUGCUUCCAAGCUCAUUCGGGUUGUUGGAAGAAUCCAGUUCCUUGUAAUUACAGGGUUGAGGUCCCCACGUCCUUGCUGGCUGUCACUUGGGAAACUCUCUCAGCUCCUUAAGGCCAUCUACAUCCCUCAUCAUGUUGCUUCCUCCAUCUUCAUUCCGGUGAUGGUGCGUAGAGUCCUUCUGAUGCUUCAAGUCUCUGCGACUUCCCCUUUUACAGUAUCUUUUCUGUCUCCAGCCAGAGAAAGUUCUCUGCUUUUAAGGACUCAGGUGAUUAGCUUGGACCCACCUGGUUAAUCCAGAAUAACCUCCCAAUUUUAAGGCCCGAAGCCUUAAUCACACCUGCAAAGCCCCUUUUGCCAUGUCAGGUAACAUCAUCAGAGGUUCCAGGGAUCAGGACAUAGACAUCUUUGGGGGGACAUUCUACCUACCACAGCAAUCCUCUGGUCAGUCUUAGCCAAAGACUCCAAAGAUGAGGUUUCCUACCACUUCUAUUAAACUCUGGCUAUUUGGGUUCCUGGGGGUACCUAGAGGACACUGAUCAUUUUAAUUUAUAGAUCAUCAGGAAAUUGUACAGUGCUAUAGACUGAAUGUUUGUGUUCCCCCAAAGUUCGGGUGUUGAAGCCCUAAGCCCCAGUGUGAUGGUAUUAGGAGGUGAGGCCUUUGGGAGGUAAUUAGGUUUAAAUGAGGUCACGAGGGUGGAGCCCCCACGAUGGGACUAGUGUCCACAUAAGAAGAGAAAGAGACCCCAGAGCUUCCUCACUUAGCCACGUGAGGAUACAACAAGAAGAUGGCCUUUUGUAAGCUAGGAAGAGAGUUCUGAUUAGGAACUGAAUCUGCCGGCACCUUGAUCUUGGACUCCCCAGCCUCCAGAACUGUGAAAAAUAAAUGUCUGUUGUUUA